GAGACUGAGUUGAGCUAUUGUACACUUCAAAUCAUUCAGCUUCUAAAUUUGGGGUUUAUUUUUUCUCCGCCGUCUAGAAUGGCGCCGCCUCCUCCUCCUGGGCUUUAUUCCGGCAAGAGCGCCUUGGCUAUGGUGGCUAGGGUUUCCGCUUUCACGGUUGGACUCGCGUAUGGCAGCGUAAAGCUUAAGUUUGUCAAGAUGAAAGCAAAGAGUCAGAAGAAGGCUGAGGCUAAGGCUCAGCACUAGAGGAGCAGUGUGACUUUUUUUUGCUCUACCGGGAUCACAAUAAUAGAAUAGAGAGAUUGAUUUUCCGCCAUGGCCUGAAUCGCCUAAUGAGAACGAGCAUCGUUUUCAACCGGUAAACAGUUAGGUUUUUCUUUCGGUUUGAAAUGCUGCUCAAACACUAGUUUAUCCUGUGAUGACAAUGAAGAAGGAUAUUAGCAAAAAAAUAUGGAUCUAUAAUUUGCAAACUUUUUGGAUCCUUGAUUAGCUAUAUUUUCUCAUUGUUUUAUAUAUAAGGGGAUCCAUAUUCA